rnacentral:rRNA from 1 species
GACGAACGCUGGCGGCGUGCUUAACACAUGCAAGUCGAACGGAAAGGCCCUGCUUUUGUGGGGUGCUCGAGUGGCGAACGGGUGAGUAACACGUGAGUAACCUGCCCUUGACUUUGGGAUAACUUCAGGAAACUGGGGCUAAUCCCGGAUAGGAGCUCCUGCUGCAUGGUGGGGGUUGGAAAGUUUCGGCGGUUGGGGAUGGACUCGCGGCUUAUCAGCUUGUUGGUGGGGUAGUGGCUUACCAAGGCUUUGACGGGUAGCCGGCCUGAGAGGGUGACCGGCCACAUUGGGACUGAGAUAAGACCCAGACUCCUACGGGAGGCAGCAGUGGAGAAUAGUGUACAAUGGGCGGAAGCCUGAUGCAGCAACGCCGCGUGCGGGAUGACGGCCUGCGGGUUGUAAACCGCAUUCGCCUGAGACGAAGCGUGAGUGACGGUAAUGGGUAAAGAAGCACCGGCUAACUACGUG